rnacentral:rRNA from 1 species
AAGCUCGUAGUUGAAUUUCGGGAUCAAUGUUUCGGUCAUGCCGUUGGUAUGUACUGAUAUUAUUGAUUUCUCACCUUCUAAAGAACCGUAAUGCCAUUAAUUUGGUGUCACGGGGAAUUAGGACUGUUACCUUGAAAAAAUUAGAGUGUUUAAAGCAGGCUCACGCUUGAAUACAUUAGCAUGGAAUAAUGAAAUAGGACAUCCGAUUCUAUUUUGUUGGUUUCUAGGAUCGAUGUAAUGAUUAAUAGGGAUAGUUGGG